AACGAACGCUGGCGGCAUGCCUAACACAUGCAAGUCGAACGAAGUGGCGCACGGGUCCGUCACCCGUGGGAAUCUGCCCUUAGGUUCGGCAUACCAGCUGGAAACGGCUGCUAAUACCGGCUGCCUGAGGAUGAGCCCGCGUUGGAUUAGGUAGUUGGGGGGGUAAAGGCCUACCAAGCCGACGUUCCAUAGCUGGUCUGAGAGGAUGAUCAGCGACACUGGGACUGAGACACGGCCCAGACUCCUGCGGGAGGCAGCAGUGGGGAAUAUUGGAAAAUGGGGGAAAGCCUGAUCCAGCAAUGCCGCGUGAGUGAUGAAGGCCCUAGGGUUGGAAAGCUCUUUUACCCGGGAAGCUGUACCGGGAGAAUAAGCCCCGGCUAACUCCGUGCCAGCAGCCGCGGUAAUUC
rnacentral:rRNA from 1 species